AUUGAAUUUUGACAUUCAAAAAAAUGGAAAGCCCAUGCUACUUUCUCUGUAACUGAUAUUCCAAAGAAAGGAACAUUUUAUUUGGAGUAAUAUUAAUCCCUCCUCUAGUGCCUGAAAGUGUCAAAUGUGAAAACAUUAUCAAAGGAAUUAAUGGUGGGAAAAUUAGUCUUACCUCUUCUCUGGAGUACAUAUAGUUUAAAGUGAUUUAUGAUCAAUUUAAAGAUAUUGGGAACUGUUGGAUAUAUAGACGCUUUCUGAAGAAAUCUAAAUGCCAGGACAUAGGAAUAUUAUAAAAUUGCCUUAUCUUGUUAUAUGAAAAUUGAAAGUAAGCAAGAAGUUGGUGUUUGUUUCUAGACAUUGAGAUUCUCCCAAUUAUCUCGAAUAUUUCUUCCUAAGGAAAAUAUCACAAUAAUGUUUAAUUACUUAUUAUAUCCCUUUCCUUCAGUUCAGUCGCUCAGUUGUGUCCGACUCUUUGCGACCCCAUGAACCGCAGCACGCCAGGCUUCCCUGUCCAUCACCAACUCCCGGAGUUCACUCAGACUCACGUCCAUCGAGUCAGUUUGGCUUUGAACUGUCCAAACCUAAAGAUAUGAAAGAAUAACUUGUAUCAGACCAUCUCUUCAGCUAAGAAUUUUGAAAUUCAGAUACAAUAAGACAAAAACAUCAGAUCCAAGAGCAAGCAGAGAGUAACUCUGAAAGUCAGGAGUUCAAGGAAGCCAAGAUAUAGGGAAAACAGAAACGUCUUGAGAAGAGCCAGACCCUCUGCCCUUAGCCUCCUGUCUGUUUAAGGUGCGCAUUCUGAAAUGCUAGGCAGAAAGGCAUGGCUUGGAGCCUUUGACAGUCUCAGAGGAUCAGGAAUACAAAAGUGGAUUGUAGGGUAACCUACACAGCUAGCGUUCCAGUGACUAAGAUUUUUAAGAAAAGGAAACAAUAGAGACUUUACUUCUUUUUUUUUUUAAUAUUUGUGGUUUCAUAUAUACUACCUCACAAUGAUUGUAAUGGCUAUCAUCAAAAAUAAACAAUAAGUGCUAGCAAUUGUGUGGAGAAAAAGAAGCUCUUGUGCCUUAGUGGGAAAUUAUAGACUCUAUGAAAACAAUAUAGAGGUUCCUCUAAAACUUAAAGGUAGAAUUACCAUGGGAAAGUCCAUGGAUUCUCCAGGGCAAGAAUAUUGGAGUGGGUUGCCAUUUCCUUCUCCAGGGGAUCUUCCCCACCCAGGGAUAGAACCCAGGUCUCCCGCAUUGCAGGCAGACGCUUUAAC
ensembl:lncRNA